UUUGAACUGUUUUAUUCGGGUGUUCGGGAGAGCGAGCUGCAUUCCGGUGCACACGGCGCAGCUCAACGCGCCGACGCCGAAGGGCGCCAGUCUUUGUGAGUCCUUGAUAUCGCGCCUUCUGCGCGCGCAGAUGGGCGACCUCUGAUCGAACCCUCCUGACGUGUCCAAGCGUUGCAGGCGGCGAAAAUUCAACAAGCAGGCGCAAUUUUUGCAGUGACCGCCGACUUCUCCACGCGUUUUGGGUAACAAGGCCCCCAUGGAAGCCGCGCGCCGGGCCGCAUCGGCG
rnacentral:lncRNA from 1 species